rnacentral:rRNA from 1 species
UCGGGAACUCAAAGGAGACUGCCAGUGAUAAACUGGAGGAAGGUGGGGAUGACGUCAAGUCAUCAUGGCCCUUACGACCAGGGCUACACACGUGCUACAAUGGCGCAUACAAAGAGAAGCGACCUCGCGAGAGCAAGCGGACCUCAUAAAGUGCGUCGUAGUCCGGAUUGGAGUCUGCAACUCGACUCCAUGAAGUCGGAAUCGCUAGUAAUCGUGGAUCAGAAUGCCACGGUGAAUACGUUCCCGGGCCUUGUACACACCGCCCGUCACACCAUGGGAGUGGGUUGCAAAAGAAGUAGGUAGCUUAACCUUCGGGAGGGCGCUUACCACUUUGUGAUUCAUGACUGGGGUGAAGUCGUAACAAGGUAACCGUAGGGGAAC